rnacentral:rRNA from 1 species
GACAGAGGGUGCAACCGUUGCUCGGAAUUACUGGGCGUAAAGCGCGUGUAGGCUGACCGGAAAGUCGGGCGUGAAAUCCCUGGGCUCAACCCAGGAACUGCACUCGAAACUCCCGGUCCUGAGUGGUGGAGAGGGAAGUGGAAUUCCUGGUGUAGAGGUGAAAUUCGUAGAUAUCAGGAGGAACACCAGUGGCGAAGGCGGCUUCCUGGACACCAACUGACGCUGAGACGCGAAAGCGUGGGGAGCAAACAGG